CAGGAUCAUAUCUCAGAGAACUAGAAUGCCUGCCACUAGACACUGGAAAAUAGACACCUUUACUUCCACAGUUCCUGUUUGGUCAGCUACCUACCCAGACUAACAAUCACUGAAAAUAGACUUUGUUUGUUGACAGACUAACAAUCAGUGGAAGCAGAGUUGGUUGGAGACAGAAGGCCGAUCUGAGAUCCAACAAGUUACAUCAGCUAAUGAUACACGCCUCCGAGAAGAAGUGGGGAGAGAGGAGGAUGGAGAGCCAGGAAGGCAGAGCUGUGGGACUAGAGGACAACUACAAUAAGCAACUAUGGCCUGAGCAAGAAUAUGUUGGCAAUGAAAUUCAUUUGCAUUCCCAGUUCCAUCAGCAACAGAAUAAACAAAAGACUAACCUGAAGCACUCAAAUUGAAGAAGCAUACCCAGAAGAGGAGAUCCAUUCUCCUAUUGCUCUCACAGAAUACCUGAGAAAGGGUAGUGCUGAAGGCCCAGAGACACAAGAAAUACCACAAUGUGGCCCGAGAGGGAGC